rnacentral:misc_RNA from 1 species
AGUAACAGACGUUUUGUCAUGCGUCAGGAGAGGAUCCAAAGAUGGAGGAUGUUGUUGUUGUUUUGUUUUCGUAUUCACGUUCUUUAUGACACUGAUCUUAUUAUCCCUUCACAAUGAGGGAUACUUUGUACCAAACCUUACAGCAGCGAGUCUAUGGAUCUGUUACUCCAGAUCUGCUGUUCAAGCGAGCUCGUGAUAGUAAAUACCUCCUUCAAUGUCUCCAGAGGACCGGCACGCUAACAGGACACGAUGGAUGCGUUAAUACAAUCGCUUGGAGUGACUCUGGUGAUCUGUUGCUUUCUGGAUCAGAUGAUUGUAGGCUGAAUAUAUACAGACCUUAUCAGCAUAAGUUACUUAAGUCAAUUUCCACUGGUCAUCGUGCCAAUAUCUUCAGUGCAGCGUUUCUUCCAUGUACAGCAAACAAACAGAUUGUGUCAUGUGCUGGAGAUGGGAUGAUUCAUUUUACUGAGCUACAAAGACCAGAAUUAUAUGGAAAGUGUUCUUAUAACUGUCAUUCUGGAACAGCAUAUGAGCUAGUCACAACACCAGGAGACCCUAACACAUUCAAGUCCUGUGGUGAAGAUGGUACAGUGCGUUUGUUUGAUAUCAGGACCAAGUCUAAAUGUUCAGCACGGAACUGUAAAGAGGAUGUCCUGAUAGAUUAUGGAAAAGCCAUCACAUCUAUGGGUGUAAACCCUUUGACACCCUAUCAGCUAGCCAUUGGUUGUGAAGACAGUACUGUUGCUUUGUUUGACUGUCGCUCUUUGAGUACAGCAAACUCUAGUCGAGGAAUGAAAGGAAUGCUAUGUAAAUUUAAACCGGAUUCCCUCAAAGACAGGACAUGUCGAGUUACGUCCCUGCAGUAUAGUUCUGAUGGAUGUGAGCUGCUUGUUAGCUACUGUGCAGAUUACGUAUACUUGUUUAACAUGAGAGGAGAGAAAGAAGUUCGUUUGACUUGUGAAGGCGGAGGGCACGAAAAUGGAGCAUUUUCAAAUGAUGAUUCAAAGAGGAGCCUCCCUCUUAAACGACUGCGUCUGCGAGGGGACUGGUCUGAUACUGGUCCGAAUGCUAGACCUGAAAGUGAAGCUGCCUCAAGUGAAAGCACGCUCAUGCAGCGCAUGUCUGAUUUAUUUGUCCGCUGGAUUGAAGAAUCGUUUCGAGGAAACCAAAGGAAUAGAGCGAGGACAGGAUCACACACAAGAAGUGAGUCUUCCUCUUCUUCUUCUUCAAUGCCGUCUCUACCUUCUUUACCUUCUCGUGUGAGGUCUUCAUCUGAUAGCUCCAGGGCGACUAACAUAUCCGAAACGCUGCCAUUCGAUGAAGGAACAAGUAACCAGGACUCUGUUGAUAUGAACGUUGAUGAAUCCUCUAAUGAUGUCUUUGAAACUGCGUCAAGUGGUACAUCAAAUAUGAUGGACGCAGAGGACCAAAAGAAGGACGAUGAUGAUGAUGAUGGCACUGAUGAGAAAAUGGAUUUGGUUUUGAAUAUUGACCACACUGUGGCGGGACCAAGCGGUGUGAAAAUUGAAGUCACUUCUCCUAACACUACAGAAAACAAAGACACUAAAGAAGACGAUCCUGAUAGUGAUCGUGAAGACAUGGAAGCACAAUCUAAUGAUGAUUCAAAUAACGCAUCAGGCACGCCCGGUGCCAACUUAGAAAAGACUACGGAAGGAAAAGAAAGAGACUGCAAACAAGGCGUGGAAGAAACACAUGGUAAUGUAUCGGAGGGUGUGACUGAAGUGCGUGAUGAGAUAUCGGAGGGUGUAGCCGAAGCACGUGGUAAUGUAUCGGAGGGUGUGGCAGUAACGCGUGGUAAUGUAUCGGAGGGUGUAGCCGAAACACGUGGUAAUGUAUCGGAGGGUGUAGCCGAAAUACGUGGAAAUGUAUCGGAGGGUGUGGCAGUAACGCGUGGUAAUGUAUCGGAGGGUGUGGCAGUAACACACGGUGAGGUAUCUCCAGGCGUCGUCACUACUGAACCCAAUCAAGAGUCACUUGAACAUCAUUUGGCGGCAAUACGAAUACAACGUCUAUUCAGAAAUUAUAAGUUAAUAAAGAACUUCGAACAAACGAACGAACCUCGUGACGGAGAGAUGGGCGAACAAAAAGAGGUUUGGAUACCUAAGAUGACCAGAGUGUUCCGUGGGCACAGAAAUGCUCGAACCAUGAUAAAAGAGGCAAGGUUUUGGGGAGAUCGUUUUAUCAUGAGCGGAAGUGACUGUGGUCGAAUCUUCAUCUGGGAUAAAGACACGACAGAAAUAGUAAUGACCCUACAGGGCGAUCGACAUGUUGUCAACUGUGUGCAACCACAUCCAUUUGAUCCAAUUCUUGCUUCAAGCGGUAUUGACUAUGAUAUUAAACUGUGGGCACCAACAGCAGACACACCAUUACAAAUCGAUGGUCUAGAUGAGGUAAGUGUUACGGGAUACCUGUGUACUAUGAUAUUAAACUGUGGGCACCAACAGCAGACACACCAUUACAAAUCGAUGGUCUAGAUGAGAUCAUCAAGAGGAAUGAACAGAUGUUAGAGGAGAGCAGAGAUACGAUAACAGUUCCAGCUUCUUUUAUGUUACGAAUGCUAGCUUCAUUAAACCACGCUAGAUUUGCUCGAAAUCAAGAAGAUUCUGAUACCG